rnacentral:ncRNA from 1 species
CGUAAACUUUAGGGGUGUCCUGCUAGCCAGGACUGAGAUGAUACCCUUUGAACCUGAUCAGGCUGAUACCUGCGAAGGGAAAAGUAGCAGAAAGCAC